rnacentral:rRNA from 1 species
AACGAACGCUGGCGGCGUGGAUAAGACAUGCAAGUCGAACGGGGCGGAUGAGAUUAUAUCAAGUCUGUUCAGUGGCGGACGGGUGCGUAACACGUGAACAAUCUGCCGGGAGGAGGGGGAUAGCCCAUGGAAACGUGGAUUAAUACCCUGUGCGGCGGGAUCCGGCAUCGGAUCCCUGGCAAAGGCGGUGCAAGCCGCCGCACCCCGUUGAGUUCGCGGCCUAUCAGCUUGUUGGCGGGGUAACGGCCCACCAAGGCGAUGACGGGUAGCUGGUCUGAGAAGAUGACCAGCCACACUGGAACUGAGACACGGUCCAGACACCUACGGGUGGCAGCAGUCGAGAAUCAUUCACAAUGGGGGAAGCCCUGAUGGUGUGACGCCGCGUGGAGGAUGAAGGUCUUCGGAUUGUAAACUCCUGUCAUGUGGGAGUAAAGCCGGGUGUUAAAUGCAUGCCGGUCUGAGAGUACCACAAGAGGAAGGGACGGCUAACUCUGUGCCAGCAGCCGCGGUAAGAC